GCUGGGGGAGGCAGGAGUAGGAAGGGAGACAAGGGAUGUUAGGGAGGCAGAAGGAGGCAGGGGGUGUUAGGGAGGCUGGGGGAGGCAGGGGUAGGAAGGGAGGCAGGGGGUGUUAGGGAGGCUGGGGCAGGCAGGGGUAGGGAGGCAGGGGUAGGAAGGAAGGCAGAGGGUGUUAGGGAGGCUGGGGGAGGCAGGAGUAGGAAGGAGACAAGGGAUGUUAGGGAGGCAGAAGGAGGCAGGGGGUGUUAGGGAGGCUGGGGGAGGCAGGGGUAGGAAGGGAGGCAGGGGGUUGUUAGGGAGGCUGGGGGAGGCAGGGGUAGGAAGGGAGGUAGGGGGUGUUAGGGAGGCUGGGGAGGCAGAGGGUUGUUAGGGAGGCUGGGGUGGCAGGGGUAGGAAGGGAGGUAGGGG
ensembl:lncRNA